UUUCCAUAGAGACAUCAAGCAUAGAACAUAGGAAACAGAAACCAAAAGAGCGUCACUUGUCAAAUGAUUAUUCCAUGUGGAUUGCACGAGUCCUUGAGUCCCUGGAGAGGAUAAACCUUUGGGGAGGGGAAAAAAAAAAAAAAACUUACCUUAAAAAAAAAAAUCCAAACCCAACUUAGCUUCUCUCCCAGAAAGACCACCGGUUUGUGAGAGCUUACACUCCCAGCCUGCGGCGUGCUGGAAGCCAGCAAACACGGAGGCCCCGCUCAGAUGCCUCUCCCGGGAGGGCGGGAAUUAAUCAGGGAAUGUUUACUGCACGCCCGGGAGGGAGGCUGCACGGAGACUGUGCCCAGGGAAUCGUGUCAGCCUGGGGGGCCUCACCGUCCAUCGGAGGGCCGUCCGCCGCAGGAACCCUCCUCCUGGUUCUCUCCCGGAUGUCAGGCUCACCACGCAGCAAGUGAAACCGGUUUCUGUGGGGCUGAACCGCUUUCCCUGGGCCUGCGCGGGCAGCCACCUCUGGAUCGCAUUAAGCUGCAUAAAUAACAAGGCUGUUGUCAGAUUCCCCCUGGUUGAGGCCUCUGUCCUUGGACUCAGCGCAUCCUUGGAGCCCAGGCCAGUGACCCGCGUAGUAGGGGCUCAAUAAUAAUGGACUAGCUGGUGGAAGGAGAUGGAGCAGGCAGCAGUGUGAAGUUCAAAGGCUCAGCUCACACCUGAUUCUCCCAGGGAGGGCUGCCCCCAGGACCAACCCCCCCUGCUUAUAUGAGGGGGGCGACCACCACGCGCCACGCUCUGCAGAACCGCAGCCUGGAUGGGGGGCUUCAAAUCACGCCUGCUGAUAGAUCAAGCGUCCUCUCCAACAGGAUAGCCCCCUCCUUGCUCACCUCCCCAAAUAAACCUGCGUAAUGAAGACAGAUGGCCUAGCUCAGCGCCGCCGCAUGCAGGUGGGGCCGAGGCGGCCCGAGGCCACACACCCCACCCUGGAGCGGGGCCUGGGGUGUCACCAGGACGGAGACCAGCCUGCACCCCCUUCAUCACCAUCCCCCCACCGGGGGCAGCAUCUCUAUGUGAUAAGCCGGGGUUCAUCUUUGCAUGCCGCCCUUUACAAAUAUCCAGCUGGAAGCCGGUAGCCCCGACUCCCGCCUGUAGGUAUGGUAAAGUCAUUCAUAAGGACAGAAACCUCUGCCAGCUCCACUCCCCCAGAGCAGCGCAGGGGGCUGCCUCUCCUUGUCCUUUGAACGGUUCUUCUUGGACGUCCUG